rnacentral:rRNA from 1 species
GACAGAGGGUGCAAACGUUGCUCGGAAUCACUGGGCGUAAAGGGCGUGUAGGCGGGGUAGGCAAGUCGGGCGUGAAAUCCCUGAGCUCAACUCAGGAACUGCACUCGAAACUGCUUAUCUUGAGUGCCGGAGAGGAAAGCGGGAAUACCUGGUGUAGAGGGUGAAAAUUCGUAGAUAUCAGGUGGAACACCAGUGGCGAAGGGCGGCUUUCUGGACGGUAACUGACGCUGAGACGCGAAAGCGUGGGGAGCAAACAGG